rnacentral:rRNA from 1 species
CUCCUCUUGUGUCAUAUAAGAGGUACCGUCUGCUCAAUGCAAUUUGUAAAUAGCCGCAGUAUUCUGACUGUGCUAAGGUAGCAUAAUCAUUAGUCUUUUAAUUGAAGGCUGGUAUGAAUGACGAGACGAGAAAAUUACUGUCUCUAUAGUAAAUUUUGAAUUUUAUUUUUAAGUGAAAAAGCUUAAAUGAUUUUGAAGGACGAUCAGACCCUUUGGAGCUUUAUUUAUUUUAAAUUUAAAUUUGUUAAAGAUGAUUGAAUGAAAAAUAAAUUUUGUUGGGGCGACAGAGAGUAAAAGAUAACACUCUUUUUUAUAAACAAUUAUAUUUGGAAAAUUGAUCCUUAAAGAGAGAUUAAAAGACUAAGUUACCCUAGGGAUAACAGCGUAAUCUUUUUGGAGAGUUCAAAUCGAUAAAAAGGUUUGCGACCUCGAUGUUGGAUUAAGAAAUUAACAAGGUGCAGAAGUUUUGUUGGAGAGUGCUGUUACUC